rnacentral:rRNA from 1 species
UACGGGGGGGGCAAGCGUUGUUCGGAAUUACUGGGCGUAAAGGGCUCGUAGGCGGCCAACUAAGUCAGACGUGAAAUCCCUCGGCUUAACCGGGGAACUGCAUCUGAUACUGGAUGGCUUGAGAUUGGGAGAGGGAUGCGGAAUUCCAGGUGUAGCGGUGAAAUGCGUAGAUAUCAAGAGGAACACCUGAGGUGAAGACGGGUUGCUGGUCUAACACUGACGCUGAGGCGCGAAAGCCAGGGGAGCAAACGGG